GUUAAAGCUGGUCCCUGUACCUUGCCAGUGUCUCGAGCUGGAAAUUUCGGGGGUCAAGUUAUUCUUCCGUUGGCUCACACUAUUGAGCAUGAAGAGUUUAUGGAGGUAAUUAAACUUGAAAAUAUGGGAUAUCGGGAGGACAUGAUGAUGCCUGGUGACAUCUUCCUCUUGCAACUUUGUAGCGGAGUAGAUGAGAAUGCUGUUGGUACCUGUGCUGAACUCAUCUUUGCUCCCAUNNNNNNNNNNNNGGAUGAUGCACCUAUUAUUCCUUCAGGGUUCCGCAUCAUUCCUCUUGAUUCCAGGAUGGAUGCUACAAGCCCAAACCGGACACUUGACCUUGCCUCUGCUCUUGACGUUGGACCUGCUGGAAAUAAAGCAUCUGGCGAUUUUUCAGGCCAUUGUGGGAGCUCAAAAUCAGUGAUGACAAUAGCAUUCCAAUUUGCAUUUGAACUCCACCUCCAAGAAAAUGUGGCAUCCGGCAGUAUGUCCGUAGCGUUAUUGCCUCUGUUCAAAGGGUGGCAUUGGCCCUCUCUCCUUCUCGU
rnacentral:misc_RNA from 1 species